GGCAGUUGCAGCCACAGCCCUGACGCUUGCAGAAGCUGAGAAACUAACCUUGGGAGGGACAAUACAAAUAUAUACCCCUCAUAUGGUCCAAGCCUUAUUGGAUGCAAAGGGAGGCCUUUGGCUCAGCCAGGCUCGGAUGGCUAGAUAUCAGGCCAAACUUCUAAAGAACUCUGAAGUCACCUUACAGUCUUGCCCCUCCCUUAACCCCGCCACCCUCUUACCGGAGACUGAGGAACAAGAACAUGAUUGUUUAGAGAUCAUAGAUGCCCAAUACUCCAGCUGUCUGGACUUAAAAGAUAUACCCCUCCCAAACGCAGAUCAUGAGUGGUACACUGAUGGUAGCAGUACUGUGAUAGAUGGGCAAAGGAGGGCGGGUUAUGCUGUCGUGACCCUCCAUGACACUAUGGAAGCCAAGGUUUUGCCCUCUGGGACCUCGGCCCAGCUUCCCGAACUAGUUGCCGUGACCCAUGCACUCGAACUGUCAAAAGGGAAGCGGGUCAACAUUUUUACCAAUUCAAAAUAUGCUGUGGGAGUGCUACAUGCUCAUGCUGGCCUAUGGAAGUAAAGAGGAAUGCUGACAGCUCAAGGCUCCCGAGUCAAGCACGGACCCCAAAUCCUCCAGCUCCUAGAAGCCGUACAACUCCCCUCAGAAGUGGCGUAGUACACUGUAAAGCCCAUCAAAGGGAAGAUCAAGAUGUGGCCAAGGUAUACUAAGGAUUCCCAGCCUCUCCCCUAGGACUCUCCCGUCCACUCCUUACAGCCCGGCGACUCCGUGCUUGUUCGUACCUGGAAAGAUGAGCCUCUCCAGGAAAAGUGGAAAGGACCCUACACCAUCCUGCUGAUCUCCCAUACGGCAGCAAAGGUCGAGGGACACAAGAACUGGAACCAUCACUCUCAUCUAAAGGCAGUACCCUCCCCCUCGUCAGCAGAGCAGUGGACCGUCCAAACCGUUGACUCCUCAUCUAGUGACGAUCUCGGGCUAAAGCUGUUUAAGAGACACAAACAGCAGGCACCUUAGCGCCAAAAUGGGCCCACCCAGGAACUGGAAACCCUGGGCCGGGAGGAUUCCGGUAACAAUUAGUUGUGUAAUACUGUUAUUUUCUGUAUUGUUAUUUCCGAACUGUGCAGAUCAGGAACAUAACUCCUUUGUUUUACUUGCACACCAUGUUGCUACUUUAACAAACCAGACUGAUUGUUGGGUGUGUGCUCCGACUCUACUGUCCCCUACAACAGGAAUGCCCCUUGUCAUGCUGCCCUUAAACCUAGCAGAAUUAGCUGCCACCAAAGAGCAGGAAGAUAAAAACCGAACAGACUCGCCAUUCUGGAAUAAGACCUCUUCGCAGCAAGCCAUUUAUCAGAACCAGGAGUAUUCAAUUGCAGUGCUCACGGAGGGAGUAUUUGUUUUACCCGAAACCAAUCUGAUCACUAUAGGCGUCCUGUGGGAAAGAGCUCCUGUGUUAUUACACAGUGGGCCGAUGGGUAUUGGAUAAAGACCAGGAGGGGAGGUCAGCAGUGUGGGUGUAAUGGUUCCUCCCCUUUUGGGGAAACUCUUAUGAAUAAUCUUACC